AGCCAGGUGCUGGUGGCUCAUAUCUGUAAUCCUAGCUACUCAGGAGGCUGAGGUCUGAAGAUCAUGAUUCAAAAACAGUCUGGGCGGGAAAGUUCAAGAUAUUCUUAUCUCUAAUUAACCACCAAAAAACCAGAAGUGG